CUUUAUUUAAAGAUUCCAUGCAAAUGUCUGCUAUUGCUCCUAUGCACAGCUUUUUCCUUUUCAGACCCUGAAAUCCUCGCCUCUUGUCCAAGCUUGAAACUUGCACCAGCAGUGUGGUGAGAUUGUUGUCUCUUUUGGAUUCGUUGUCUCUUCAGUGUGCAGUGAAAAGUGCCCCCAGGCUGGAAUCCAGUCCAGAAACAGACAAUGUGAAAAUACUUUCACUUCAACGGCAUGAAGAUUACAUAGAAGAAAAAGCCAGAUGCAAGUCCUUAUUUUUCCUCAUUCAUUGAAUUUAUUUUCACUGUUAUUUUUAAAAAAUGGGCAAAAGAAGGUAGAAUUUCAAUUGUUCCUUAGAACAACAUGGACUGGUGUUUUCGAAAAAGCAAAGUGGAAAUGAUCAGGCAGCAGGGACUCUAUGCAGAAAAAAGUAAGAAGCAAAAAAGAAUUUCUCAGAAAAGCAGAUUUGAAGCACAAUCGUCAUCAGUUCAUAGGAGAAUUUUGAAGGUAACAGAGAGAUCUCCAAUGAUGAUGGUGCAAAUUCUUGUUCGCUACAUAUUAACUACGUGGAUAUUAAUUAACCUCUGCAAUAUUACCUAACCAUUUGAAACUUCAGUUUCAUUAUUUUUUUAAAAAGAUGCCAAUGUGA
rnacentral:lncRNA from 1 species